GGAGAGGUGACGGAGUGGCCGAACGUGCGCGAUUGGAAAUCGCGUGUGGGUCAAAAGCCCACCGGGGGUUCGAAUCCCCCCCUCUCCG
rnacentral:tRNA from 3 species